rnacentral:rRNA from 1 species
UACGGAGGGUGCGAGCGUUGUUCGGAAUCACUGGGCGUAAAGGGCGUGUAGGCGGUCUGCUAAGUCUGAUGUGAAAGCCCGGGGCUCACCCCCCGGAAGGGCAUUGGAAACUGGCGGACUCGAGUCCCGGAGAGGACGGGUGGAAUUCCUGGUGGUAGGCGGUGAAAGUGACGUAGAUAUCAGGAGGAACACCGGUGGCGAAGGCGGGCCCUC